rnacentral:rRNA from 1 species
AUUCCAGCUCCAAUAGCGUAUAUUAAAGUUGUUGCGGUUAAAAAGCUCGUAGUUGGAGUUCUGCCAGGUGACGCUCGUCCGCCCAAGUGGUGUGUACAGGGCGUGCAUCUGGCCCUUUCAAGGGGAACGUGUCUGCUCUUUAUUGAGUGGUGCGAGAUCCUUGACUUUUACUUUGAGGAAAUCAGAGUGUUCCAAGCAGGCUCUCGUCGUGUAUAGCUCAGCAUGGAAUAAUAGCAUUGGACUUCGUUUCUAAGCUGUUGGUUGCAAGAAGCGAGGUAAUGAUGAAGAGGGAUAGUUGGGGGCAUUCGUACUUAACUGUCAGAGGUGAAAUUCUUGGAUUUACGGAAGACGAACGACUGCGAAAGCAUUUACCAAGGAUGUUUUCAUCA